CGCGGGGAUGGAGCAACGGUUGGCUCGGCAGUCUCAUAAGCUGCAAAUCGGCAAGUUCGAUUCUUGCCCCCGUUA
rnacentral:tRNA from 3 species